rnacentral:rRNA from 1 species
UACGUAGGGGGCAAGCGUUGUCCGGAUUUAUUGGGCGUAAAGAGCGUGUAGGCGGCCAUACAGGUCAGCUGUGAAAACUCGAGGCUCAACCUCGAGACGUCGGUUGAAACCGUAUGGCUAGAGUCCGGAAGAGGAGAGUGGAAUUCCCGGUGUAGCGGUGAAAUGCGCAGAUAUCGGGAAGAACACCAACGGCGAAAGCACUCUGCUGGGCCGACACUGACACUGAGAGACGAAAGCUAGGGGAGCAAACAGG